AUUGAACGCUGGCGGCAGGCCUCACCCAUGCAAGUCGAACGAGUGGCGGACGGGUGAGUAAUGUCUGGGAAACUGCCCGAUGGAGGGGGAUAACUACUGGAAACGGUAGCUAAUACCGCAUACCAUCGGAUGUGCCCAUAUGGGCUUAGCUAGUAGGUGGGGUAACGGCUCACCUAGGCGACGAUCCCUAGCUGGUCUGAGAGGAUGACCAGCAACCCUGGAACGGAGACACGGUCCAGACUCCUACGGGAGGCAGCAGUGGGGAAUAUUGCACAAUGGGCGCAAGCCUGAUGCAGCCAUGCCGCGUGUAUGAAGAAGGCCUUCGGGUUGUAAAGUACUUUCAGCGAGGAGGCGUUACUCGCAGAAGAAGCACCGGCUAACUCCGUGACAGCAGCAGCGGUAAUUC
rnacentral:rRNA from 1 species